rnacentral:rRNA from 1 species
GACGAACGCUGGCGGUGUGUUUAACACAUGCAAGUCGAACGGUGCGGCGAACGGGUGAGUAACACGCGGGUGACCUGCCCCGCACUUCGGGACAAGCAGGGGCAACUGGGACUAAUACCGGACAGUGUGGGAUGGGCCCGCGGCCUAUCAGCUUGGUGGUGGGGUAAUGGCCUACCAAGGCGGCGACGGGUAGCCGGCCUGAGAGGGUGGACGGCCUCAAUAGGAGUGAGAGAGGUCGCAGAUGGCUAAGGGAGGCAGAAGGGUCGAAUUUUGCAAAAUGGGGGGAACGUUGGUGAAAGGGCGCAGCAUGGGGGAUGACUACCUUCUGGGUGUGAACUGCGUGCGCCUUCGAAGCGGUGGUUGGUGGAGACGCGCCGUCUAACUACAUGCCAGCAGCCGCGGUAAUUC